CAGACCUCGCGGCCCGGGUGGAUCCUAGUGACGGGGCGUCUCGUGGGGCGUGGCUCCAUCAAGGGGCGGAGCUUUCCAACGAGAUCGGGAAAUGGUGGUGGCGCUCCACGCGCUGCAGCGUGGGCGAAUUUCCGAGGGGCGGGCGGUGGGGAAGCUUGGAGCUGCUCUGGGGUGCGCGGGAAUUUCCAAACGACUGAAAAGAGGGCGCUGAAGUACUCUGAACUGGAGUCUAGCCUCCUGGCUAAGGAUCAACACCUCCCACGCCAAGCCCCGAGGCUCUAACGGGCAGGUGUCUCAGAGUUGGCGGAUGGAUGCAGGAGAGCGGGCCAGACUGCAUGGCUCCACUGUCAGCUGGGAGGAAAGGCAGCCCUCCUGCCUGUCUCAACUGGGGCAAAACAUGGCGGUGGGACUGAUCCCGGUGCUCCCUCCCACCGCGCCCGGGGCUCACCUGUGCCCGUCGCCUGGAAGUCGGUGCGGCGCUGCAGCGUGGACGGCAGCUCGUUCAGCCGGAGGCUCAGCUGUCGUUUGA